AAAAAUUCAACAUGGUAUCAGAGCAGGAACUCGAAAUUCCUGGCUCUGUUGAUCAUUUCCGCUAAGUUUCUUUUACUCUAAGCCAAGAUGGCUGGAGAACUUUUACUCUAAGCCAAGAUGGCUGGAGAACAUUUACUCUAAGCCAAGAUGGCUAGAGAACAUUUACUCUAAGCCAAGAUGGCUGGAGAACAUUUACUCAUUUACUCUAAGCCAAGAUGGCUAGAGAACAUUUACUCUAAGCCAAGAUGGCUGGAGAACAUUUACUCUAAGCCAAGAUGGCUGGAGAACAUUAUGAAGCUGAGAGCUCGAUGGAUGCUUUAGCUCUACCUAACGUUGUUCAAGUUUGCGGCACGAAGCCAUUUCAAGUUUGUUUGUUUGCGGCACGAAGCCAUUACUGUUUGUUUGCGGCACGAAGCCAUUUCAAGUGGGAAUUUGGUAACAUGGCGCAGCAAGAAGCAAAGCGUUAUUUUUACUAAACCUCUUCCUACGGUUCAGUUCAUGCGCAUUCUGUCCAAGCUUGGCUCAAGGAAUCCCCUCAAUCCAGCUUGAGGGGGAGUGUUGGAAUGCAUGCAAGUCAUAUCUUUUGUUAAAAUGCAUGCAUGAAAUAAACAUGUUGGAUGACUAGUGAAGUUAGGCUAGUCAACCUUCUUUGUGUAAAUUAGGCAAGUUAGGAAAUUAGGCAAGUUAGGCAAGUUAGGAAAUUAGGCAAGUUAGGCAAGUUAGACUUAUGUUCUCUUUCUUUUCCUAUAUAAUGUA
rnacentral:lncRNA from 1 species